rnacentral:rRNA from 1 species
GACGAACGCUGGCGGCGUGCUUGACACAUGCAAGUCGAACGGAAAGGCCUGCUUUCCCUUGUGGAUUGCGGGUACUCGAGUGGCGAACGGGUGAGUAACACGUGAGUGAUCUGCCCCCAACUUGGGUAUAAGCCUGGGAAACUGGGUCUAAUUCCCGAUAGGACUGCAGGGUGGUGCCUGUGGUGGAAAACGAUUUUCUAGUGGUUGGGGAUGAGCUCGCGGCCUAUCAGCUUGUUGGUGGGGUAAUGGCCUACCAAGGCGGCGACGGGUAGCCGGCCUGAGAGGGUGGACGGCCACAUUGGGACUGAGAUACGGCCCAGACUCCUACGGGAGGCAGCAGUGGGGAAUAUGGCACAAUGGGCGGAAGCCUGAUGCAGCGACGCCGCGUGGGGGAUGACGGCCUUCGGGUUGUAAACUCCUUUCGACCGCGAGGAAGCCACCUGGUUGGAAGGGUGGUGACGGUAGUGGUAGAAGAAGCACCGGCUAACUACGUG